CCUCAAAUUGCAUUUUACUUCCCACGAGUUGCUAUAUUUCUGAAGAUUUCUGCAAUAACCCUGGCAUUACGCUUAUAAUGGAGACAGACGUGAUGCUUGCUGGAUCCUGAGCAGACGUCCUGGACCAUGAGUGGCAUGAGCAACCAGUUUUGGACUGCCUAUCUGCAUGAUUCCACAUAUAGGCGGCAUCAUACAGGAUUUGUCUUUCUCUCUCCGUGACCUUAUUUGACUACCUGAAUCCUUCUCGGAGUUCUGUUCAUGUUCCAGAAGAGCAGUGGUCAGUCAUUGAACCAAGGCCUCAACACUGGCCCAACUCUCUGCCAGGUGCUCUUUCCAUAGACCACGCCCUCCUGCUCACCCACAGGAGACACAGCGCACACACAACAUGGCGCAUAGAACGUGCCCGUGGUUCUGCGUGUCAAGCCUCACCUUCCACCCACUCUGCCACCAUGGUCAUCACACCUGCUUGAACCCGUGCAUCAAAAUUGUUGUCACAGAGAAUAAAAAACGUUGGGACAACAUGAUGUAGUCAGGACAACAUCUGUAUCAGGCAGUGUUCUCCAGAGA